rnacentral:rRNA from 1 species
AUGGACAUGGGACUUAUGGAGGAACCAGACACCACUGUGGAGCCCCUUUUCUGUGGCCAACUUGAGCUUGCUCAUCCCAAGUGCAUUCUGCACCAACUGAGGCCUAUUAAGCGUGUUGCUUUUGAAGGGCCUGAAAAUGGUGUGAAUUGUGGUGUUGUAGAGUGGGUUGAUGGGCCUUGGCCAACUGUUCUUCAGAGAUGUCUGUGCAAGCUAUGGGAGAUGUUCCAUGAGCAGAACUUUGGAAGGGUACAGGACAAGCAGAAGUUUGAGAAGGAGUUGGCCAGGCUUAAGAGUGAACAUGAAAGGGAGUUGGCCAAGCUUAGGACUGAAAAUGACAAGCUUUGCAUUGAGUACACCAAGCUUGUUGAUGAUGUAUCCAAGAUGUUUGAUUGGCAGGAUGGUAGGGUGGACAAGAAGGUGUACCAGAAACAAGUGGAGGAGGAAGAACUUGAGAAGAAGAAGAAGGAGCUAGAGGAGAAAGCUAUGUUGGAGGUGCAGAUGGAAAAGCUCAAACUUGCAAAAGAGCAGAGGUGCGUUGUUGAAGUUGACAGAGAUGUUCUUAAGAAGGAGAAGGCAAAGCUUGAGCUUGUUGUUGCUGAGCUGCUGAAAGAAGGGUAUGGCAGCAAAGAGAAGUUAGAGCAAAUCAAGGCCACCCUUGAGUCUUGA